rnacentral:rRNA from 1 species
CCCUUAGAUGUCCGGGGCCGCACGCGCGCUACACUGAAGGAAUCAGCGUGGUUUUCUCCCUGACCCGAAAGGGUUGGGAAACCCGUUGAAUCUCCUUCGUGAUAGGGAUUGGGGCUUGAAAUUGUUCCCCAUGAACGAGGAAUUCCCAGUAAGCGCGAGUCAUAAGCUCGCGUUGAUUACGUCCCUGCCCUUUGUACACACCGCCCGUCGCUACUACCGAUUGAAUGGUUUAGUGAGAUCCUUGGAUCGGCCCUGUCGCGGCUGGCAACGGCCGCGUCGGCGCGUCGAGAAGACGAUCAAACUUGAUCAUUUAGAGGAAGUAAAAGUCGUAACA